AUGAAUUCAUCGAACUUCUCAUUUUCCAAGUUGUUCAAAGAAAUGAGCUUCUUCGUUCCAGGUAGUCAUUAUUUACCUAUAAGUUAAUGUAUAAGUUAGAUGUUAUUGAUUUUUUUAUUAAACGCUAGAACAUAGUAAGGCUACUUAAUUUUUUUUAACGAAGAAAAGGCUGAUUCACAUCAUAUUAGAGCAUUACGCUUCUUUGAUGUGAUAAAAAAAUGUGUUCGCCAAUAGGUAAAAAAAAACAUAAUGUAAGUUUGAAACAAAAACAAAAACAACACGAAAAGGAGGUCCUUGAUGAUCCAAGAGUUCCACACCUUCUUAAUCACCCUUGUGCACCAUGAGAUAACCUUGGAGUGGAUGAUUGAUGAUCGAAAAUGGUGGUCGUGGGGGGGGGGGGGACUAUGCUCGGCCGAAGAUGGGAGAGAGGGGAAGAAGAGUUGAAGUGUGGAGAAGAUGGUGAUGAGUUCAAGUUCUUAUAACCACUAAUUGUUGAUAACCAAAGGUUCAUGUGCUCCCUCAAGUACUUGAACUUGAAUCUUGAAUCAUAUGAUGAAAUAUGAUGAUAUAUAGAUGAUGAACUUCUCAUUUUCCAGGUUGUUCAAAGAAAUGAGCUUCUUCGUUCCAGGUAGUCAUUAUUUACCUAUAAGUUAAUGUAUAAGUUAGAUGUUAUUGAUUUUUUUAUUAAACGCUAGAACAUAGUAAGGCUACUUAAUUUUUUUAACGAAGAAAAGGCUCAUUCACAUCAUAUUAGAGCAUUACGCUUCUUUGAUGUGAUAAAAAAAUGUGUUCGCCAAUAGGUAAAAAAAACAUAACGUAAGUUUGAAACAAAAACAAAAACAACACGAAAAUGUCGCAAAUACUAAAAGCUUUAACGUUUUUGUAACGUGUAUUAGUAUAUCUCAGAAAUCUCAGUUUCUUCAGUAUUAAAGUUAGUACAAAAUGUCCUAAGCUAUGUUUCUCAAAUACCAAUAGUCUCAAAUGAUCUAACAACCCUGUUAAAAAUUUUCUUUUGUUAAUACCUUUUGAAGGUAAAAACUUAAUAGCCUUGGGUACAAAAGAAAUGCCUUGACAAUAUCCUUUUUAUUGCUUUUAUGUUAACCACCAUGUCUACAAACAGUGUUUGGGAUAGAUUAUAAUUUGUAUUCAUGAGAAUAGCAUAUCCCAAAUACAGAGUUUUUAAGGGAAUUUCUUUAAAAGCGGUGAUUUUUUGCAAAUAAGCACACUAAGAGUGUAUGAAAAAAGAAUUACAUAUCUGGAGAGAAGUGUGGCUUAAAAAGUGUAGCUCCUACUAGUUGAGCAUCAUAUUCCCUUUCUAUGAACUCGCUUUGAAGAUCAUUUUUGUACAAAGUUUCCAUACCUGUCAAGUCGUUUAGAUUGAAGGUGGUGGAUAGUGAUUCUGGUGUGAUCUAAACAUCGGUACCAUCAACCUUGGAAAUAAUUGUAACGCCCUGGUUUUUCGUAACUUUCCCUAUUUAGAAAGCAUGUCUUGUAUUUCCAUUUUUUGAAGCUCGUUUCCUUUGUAAUCAUAUUUCGUUUCAAGCUAUUGUAAAUCCGAGACUUUGAUCGUAAUGAAAUGAAUCUUU
rnacentral:lncRNA from 1 species